ACUGCCCUCAAGGAGCUUACAAUCUAGCCGGGGAGAUGAC
ensembl:miRNA